AAAUAAGAAGCAAAUUUUGCAUUUAAUUUCGACUUAAAAGAUUGAGUUUUUAUUCAACUCCUUAUUUA
rnacentral:tRNA from 1 species